CCCCCCACCCUUCCCCUAGCAUCGAGCAAGGGAAAGGGGAAGGGAAAAGGCAAAGGAAAGGGAAAGGUUAAGGAGCUUGUUCACGUUAAGAA